rnacentral:rRNA from 1 species
UACGAAGGUCCCGAGCGUUGUUCGGAAUCACUGGGCGUAAAGGGCGCGUAGGCGGCUCUGUAAGUCACUUGUGAAAUCUCUGAGCUUAACUCAGAACGGCCAAGUGAUACUGCAGUGCUAGAGUGUAGAAGGGGCAAUCGGAAUUCUUGGUGUAGCGGUGAAAUGCGUAGAUAUCAAGAGGAACACCUGAGGUGAAGACGGGUUGCUGGUCUAACACUGACGCUGAGGCGCGAAAGCCAGGGGAGCAAACGGG